GCUUUCGUUGUGUAGUGGUCAGCACGUUCAACGCGUAAAAGAGAAGUUCGUGGUUCGAUUCCCGGCGAAGGCG
rnacentral:tRNA from 1 species